rnacentral:snRNA from 1 species
AUACCUUUCUCGGCCUUUUGGCUAAGAUCAAGUGUAGUAUCUGUUCUUAUCAGUUUAAUAUCUGAUACGUGGGACAUCGUUCCACAUGAUAUUAAAUUAAUUUUUUCUUGGGUGAGGUCCCACAACAAUGGCUUGCCAUUGGGGUCCUCAGGCGUCGCCCAUGCGUUGCACUAUUGCACGGGCCUGGCGCAACCCAU